CCUACGGGAUGCUGCAGUAGGGAAUAUUGCUCAAUGGGGGAAACCCUGAAGCAGCAACGCCGCGUGGAGGAUGAAGGUUUUCGGAUUGUAAACUCCUUUUGUUAGAGAAGAUAAUGACGGUAUCUAACGAAUAAGCACCGGCUAACUCCGUGCCUGCAGCCGCGGUAAUAAGGAGGGUGCAAGCGUUACUCGGAAUCACUGGGCGUAAAGAGCGCGUAGGCGGGAGAGCAAGUCAGAUGUGAAAUCCUAUGGCUUAACCAUAGAACUGCAUUUGAAACUGUUAUUCUAGAGGAUGGGAGAGGUAGGUGGAAUUCUUGGUGUAGGGGUAAAAUCCGUAGAGAUCAAGAGGAAUACUCAUUGCGAAGGCGACCUGCUAGAACAUAACUGACGCUGAUGCGCGAAAGCGUGGGGAGCAAACAGGAUGAGAGACCCCUGUAGUC
rnacentral:rRNA from 1 species